GAUGAACGCUGGCGGCGUGCCUAAUACAUGCAAGUCGGACGCAAUGCUUCGGCAUUGAGUGGCGAACGGGUGAGUAAUACAUAAGCAACCUGCCCCUGUGAGGGGGAUAACUGCUGGAAACGGCAGCUAAGACCGCAUAGGUAUGGACACUGCAUGGUGACCAUAUUAAAAGUGCCAAGGCACUGGUAGAGGAUGGACUUAUGGCGCAUUAGCUGGUUGGUGAGGUAACGGCUCACCAAGGCGACGAUGCGUAGCCGACCUGAGAGGGUGACCGGCCACACUGGGACUGAGACACGGCCCAG
rnacentral:rRNA from 1 species